rnacentral:tRNA from 2 species
GCGAUCAUGGUGUAGUGGUAAACACCCUUGGCUUCCAACCAGGAGACACGAGUUCAAAUCUCGUUGAUCGCUC